AGUCAUUGAAUUAAAAAAAAAAAACUUACACAGGCUCAGUGUGUGCUUGGCGUAUUUUAAGGGAGGGAGAGGAAGGCCCUCCUAAUGCACAGCAGACCUGCCCUAAAGUGGCCUCUCUGUUCCUAGGAGUACAACAGCU
rnacentral:snoRNA from 1 species